rnacentral:lncRNA from 1 species
CUAUUUAGUGGAAUCGUCAAUGCAGCAACAGGCACAAAUUUUUUUAUGAACAAUCAUAACCUCAUGGACUAUAACGAAAAUUAUGUGACGCUUGAUGCGGCCUCUCAUGGGCGGCAGGACUCGCUGUUGUCGGCCACCACCAUCUUCGCCGUGACUCAGCUUGUUCAUUUUCUUCUCCAUUUGAUUCUGAUUGAAAUAAUCUAUCAACUUUGUAUAUAGUUAUCACAUAAAUUAAGCUUGUUUUAGUAUAUAUAGUUGGCUAGGGUGAGAAGAUACUAGGAAGAUGGCCUUAUCUUUUAACUUUAUUUAGGGGUUACAUUACAUUACAUCAAUAUGCUAGUUGUUAGUUGUAC